CUUUCUCCGCCGGCGACCGGCGCACGGGGUGAGUAACACGUAUGCAACCUGCCCCUGUCAGGGGGACAACCCGCCGAAAGGCGGGCUAAACCCGCGUACAUGCCACCGGGCAUCCCGGAGGCAGGAAAGGCUUCGGCCGGACAGGGAUGGGCAUGCGGCGCAUUAGGCAGUAGGCGGGGUAACGGCCCACCUAACCGACGAUGCGUAGGGGUUCUGAGAGGAAGGUCCCCCACACUGGUACUGAGACACGGACCAGACUCCUACGGGAGGCAGCAG
rnacentral:rRNA from 1 species